UCUGUUCCUUCUGCUUGUUUCACUUGCAGGUGUUUCCCAGUCCAGCUUGCUGAACCUCCAGCUCUGACCAUGGCAUGUUCUUUGUUCCAGCUCUGGCUCUGAGAUGUUCCAGUUGAUGGCUGCUCCAGUUCCUUCCAGGUCCCUGAGGUGGGUUCCUAUCUCUGCAGUCACCGAUGCUACCAAUUUUCCUGGAGUCUACCAUUUGAUGUUGAAGAGCAGCAGCUGGAAGAUGUGUUGAAGCAUCCUCUUCGGUGUAGUGUUUCAAGCAGGGGUUGCAGUCAGCAUGUCAGCUGAGGAGUGUGUGACAGUGGGAGUGCGUGAGUGUCCGUGUGUGUCUGGGAGAGUUUGUGUCUGUCUGCUGCUGCUCGUGUCUGCCUGUGCGAGUGUGUGUGCUGACUGCUUCUAGCCUUGUGAGCAGGAUUUUUGCCUUUCAGGUGUUUUAACUCAUUUUUAAAUUGAGAAUAAAAAGUCCCCAGCCAAUGGGUUGGGUUUUUUGCCCUCA